rnacentral:rRNA from 1 species
UACGGAGGGUGCAAGCGUUAUCCGGAAUUACUGGGUUUAAAGGGUGCGUAGGCGGCUAUAUAAGUCAGAGGUGAAAGCCCGGAGCUUAACUUCGGAAUUGCCUUUGAUACUGUAUAGCUUGAAAGAGGUUGAGGUCAGCGGAAUGUGACAUGUAGCGGUGAAAUGCAUAGAUAUGUCAUAGAACACCAAUUGCGAAGGCAGCUGGCUGGGCCUACUUUGACGCUGAGGCACGAAAGCGUGGGGAGCGAACAGG